rnacentral:rRNA from 1 species
AACGAACGCUGGCGGCAUGCCUAACACAUGCAAGUCGAACGAGACCUUCGGGUCUAGUGGCGCACGGGUGCGUAACGCGUGGGAACCUGCCCUUAGGUUCGGAAUAACUCCCCGUAAGGGGUGCUAAUACCGGAUAAUUUCUUCGGACCAAAGAUUUAUCGCCUUUGGAUGGGCCCGCGUUGGAUUAGCUAGUUGGUAGGGUAAAAGCCUACCAAGGCGACGAUCCAUAGCUGGUCUGAGAGGAUGAUCAGCCACACUGGGACUGAGACACGGCCCAGACUCCUACGGGAGGCAGCAGUGGGGAAUAUUGGAAAAUGGGCGAAAGCCUGAUCCAGCAAUGCCGCGUGAGUGAUGAAGGCCUUAGGGUUGUAAAGCUCUUUUAACCGGGAUGAUAAUGACAGUACCGGGAGAAUAAGCUCCGGCUAACUCCGUG